UUUCAUCUCUCUUAAAUAUUACUUGCUUUCAAAAUUGGACAUAAAAAUACGAAACUGUCCCAGCACACUAUUACUGAAAAAUUGCCGACUUUCUCAUUUUGACCAUA